rnacentral:lncRNA from 1 species
AGAUAUUUUGAGAGAAGGUAGAGCUUAGGGAAGGUGAGAGAAGGGAGAUUCCGGGAGCUGCAGAGAAGGAUAGUUUUAGCUUAGAGGAAGUGAGGGACACGAGAAAGAAAAAAACAGGGGAAUCAGAGGAGAAAAGGGUGAGAGUUUGAGGGUGAGUUUCUAGCUUAGAGGAGAGGCUACCGGAGGAGAGAACAGGGAGCAGCAAACUGUGAGAGGUAGUGGUGCUAUUGGCUGCCGUUUAGAGGAACUUGAGAGAGAGCGAGACUUGAGAGAGAAAGAACCAGAGAGUUAGAGUUUUCCAGAGAGAAUAGAGAGCUUGAAUGAGAAGAAGGUAAGGGUAUGACUGCCACUAAUCUUUUUGUUUUUCUUCGUUG